CGACAAAGUUCAAAUCGUGGAUCCGAGUCGUAUCACAAGUAUGGAGGUGAUGAUCACUUUCGUUUGGCAAAACGAAUGGAAGCUAGCAGUGGUGUAGUGCCCAGUGAUGUUCAAAUAUACCUGAGGGGGCACAGAGGACCAGAUCCUGCAAAUCCAGAUGUGUUGUGUAGCCAAAAGGCAACAGAUCGUCUGGCUGCAUAUGCUGAGGCGAUGUCUAGUCAGCACAGAUCGGA